GGUGCGACGCGGUCCUGCUUUGCUGACAGUCUGUCUUGGCUAGUUAACACGCCUAUGUCGCUUAUUGAAACGUCAACUGCGUGUGCCAAUUCAUUUAAUCUUUGAUCACAGUAAAACGGCUGAUUCUUUGCCCAUGGCGAAUUGUGGAUGAUUGCGGUGGAGCCUUCACUAUGGGUGUCAUCGGUGGCGGAGUCUUCCAGGCCAUCAAGGGUUUCCGCAAUGCCCCUGUUGGAAUUCGGCACCGGUUGAGAGGUAGUGCCAACGCUGUGAGGAUCCGAGCCCCCCAGAUUGGAGGUAGCUUCGCAGUGUGGGGGGGCCUGUUCUCCACCAUCGACUGUGGCCUGGUGCGGCUUCGGGGCAAGGAGGAUCCCUGGAACUCUAUCACCAGUGGAGCAUUGACCGGGGCUGUGCUGGCUGCCCGCAGUGGCCCACUGGCCAUGGUGGGCUCAGCGAUGAUGGGGGGCAUCCUGUUGGCCCUCAUUGAGGGCGUUGGCAUCCUCCUCACUCGCUACACGGCCCAGCAGUUCCGAAAUGCACCCCCAUUCCUGGAGGACCCCAGCCAGCUGCCCCCUAAGGACGGCACCCCGGCCCCAGGCUACCCCAGCUAUCAGCAGUACCACUGAGGAAGCCACUGCCACCAUGGGAGCUACUUCUCGGUUCCCUCCCCGAUGAUCUACCUCGAAGGGAGGGCUGGCUCCCAGUUAGCCCUGGGACCCUCCAGAGAGGGCUUCUACUCUGCUCCCUAGUCCCAGGGUGGGGGUGGGGCACCCCAGCUGCCCUGACAGAUGGGUCCCCUUU
rnacentral:sRNA from 1 species